rnacentral:lncRNA from 1 species
UUUGUUAGGGUUUGAAAAACUUAUUUGAAAUAAUCAUAACUUUGAAAAAUUGUUUUGUGCUUUUCUUUUUGGUGUUGUUUAUGAGCUUAGUAGAGAAAUGGAUGUUAGAUUAUGGCUUUAAUUUUGUGAAACAAGGAAAAAUAAUUUUGAGUGUGUUCUUGAGGAUUUUAUGAACAUAUUUUUAGAAACUUUUGUUUUGAUGCU